GCCCCAAUAAAAGUAAAAUGUAUGUCAAAAACAUAAAAAGCCAUAAUAUUUUGGGUAGAAAUCUCUUUUCGGUUAAUAUAUGGUAUCUGCUUAGAUGAAAAAACUUUUACUAUUAUAUAGGUACCAUCAAUUGCUUCAAUGCAAUCCUUAAGUCUUAUCAAUGACUGCCAUCAUGAAUUUUAUUUGGAGUAUUCUUGAACUCUCUAUCAAUUAAGUU
rnacentral:lncRNA from 1 species